GAUGAACGUUGGCGGCGUGCCUAAUACAUGCAAGUCGAGCGAACAGAUAAGGAGCUUGCUCCUUUGAAGUUAGCGGCGGACGGGUGAGUAACACGUGGGUAACCUACCUAUAAGACUGGGAUAACUUCGGGAAACCGGAGCUAAUACCGGAUAACAUUUAGAACCGCAUGGUUCUAAAGUGAAAGAUGGUUUUGCUAUCACUUAUAGAUGGACCCGCGCCGUAUUAGCUAGUUGGUAAGGUAACGGCUUACCAAGGCGACGAUACGUAGCCGACCUGAGAGGGUGAUCGGCCACACUGGAACUGAGACACGGUCCAGACUCCUACGGGAGGCAGCAGUAGGGAAUCUUCCGCAAUGGGCGAAAGCCUGACGGAGCAACGCCGCGUGAGUGAUGAAGGGUUUCGGCUCGUAAAACUCUGUUAUUAGGGAAGAACAAAUGUGUAAGUAACUGUGCACAUCUUGACGGUACCUAAUCAGAAAGCCACGGCUAACUACGUG
rnacentral:rRNA from 1 species